GACGAACGCUGGCGGCGUGCCUAAUACAUGCAAGUCGAACGCACUCUCGUUUAGAUUGAAGGAGCUUGCUCCUGAUUGAUAAACAUUUGAGUGAGUGGCGGACGGGUGAGUAACACGUGGGUAACCUGCCCUAAAGUGGGGGAUAACAUUUGGAAACAGGUGCUAAUACCGCAUAAAACCUAACACCGCAUGGUGUAGGGUUGAAAGAUGGUUUCGGCUAUCACUUUAGGAUGGACCCGCGGUGCAUUUGUUAGUUGGUGAGGUAAAGGCUCACCAAGACCGUGAUGCAUAGCCGACCUGAGAGGGUAAUCGGCCACACUGGGACUGAGACACGGCCCAGACUCCUACGGGAGGCAGCAGUAGGGAAUCUUCCACAAUGGACGAAAGUCUGAUGGAGCAACGCCGCGUGAGUGAAGAAGGUUUCGGAUCGUAAACUCUGUUGUUGGAGAAGAAUGUAUCUGAUAGUAACUGAUCAGGUAGUGACGGUAUCCAACCAGAAA
rnacentral:rRNA from 1 species